GAUCUAAUAUUUUAAUUUAAAAUGGCUGACUUGCAUUUAGCUGAUGAAUAGUAUAAGUUCUUAGGUCA
rnacentral:tRNA from 1 species